rnacentral:tRNA from 1 species
GUUGGCGUGGCCGAGUGGUUUAGGCGAUGGUCUGCAAAACCAUAGAUGUUGGUUCGAUUCCAACCGUCAACU